rnacentral:rRNA from 1 species
UACAGGGGGGGCAAGCGUUGUUCGGAAUUACUGGGCGUAAAGGGCUCGUAGGUGGCCAACUAAGUCAGACGUGAAAUCCCUCAGCUUAACUGGGGAACUGCGUCUGAUACUGGAUGGCUUGAGUUUGGGAGAGGGAUGCGGAAUUCCAGGUGUAGCGGUGAAAUGCGUAGAUAUCAGGAGGAACACCGGUGGCGAAGGCGGAUCUCUGGGCCUUACCUGACGCUGAGGCGCGAAAGCUAGGGGAGCGAACAGG